rnacentral:piRNA from 4 species
UAGCUCAGUCGGUAGAGCAUGAG